CUAGAACCUUCUGAGAACAUUGAUACUGCUGUGCGCUUUUGAUUGUGUUGGUUUCCUCGUGGCAAGUCAACAGGUCUGCUGGCCUCCAGCUCCUCUCCCUCUCCCUCUAUCCAUUUGAGAUCAUUCACCUCUCUCCUGUCAUUCUACCCACUCAUCCCUUAAUAUAAGACGUUCUAUCUCUCCUGUCAAAUCUAAUACAUCUAUCUAAUUUUGAGGUUUUCUAUCUCUCCUGUCAUAUCUAAUAUAUCUAUCUAAAUUUUGGAAAUUCUAUCAUUCUAUCCCUCUAAUUCUAUCCCGCUCUAUCUCCUUGCAUUCUUGCAAGAAACCGAUAUUUUGGAACGAUAUAUUUGAACCUUGUCUUUUGGAACGAUAUAUUUCAACCUUGUCUUUUGGAACCUGAUGUAACAGAUUACUGGUAUCUGUUUUGGAUUCAUGGGUUGAUUGGAACCUGAUCAUUCUGUUUUAUGGAUCUGUGAGUUUCUCUGCUCACACUUCUUCUACCUCUCCUGUCUCUCUCUCACACACAUUUGAUUUGGCCUUUUCAAUUGGCAAAAACCUUAUUAUUGUAUUUUUUAAUUGUCCAUAUUGUAUUAAUAUUCUAUUUGGUAACAGUCAUAAUUAAAUAAAUGAUUAAGUAUU